rnacentral:rRNA from 1 species
UACGUAGGGGGCAAGCGUUGUCCGGAAUCAUUGGGCGUAAAGCGCGUGUAGGCGGCUCGGUAAGUCCGCUCUGAAAGCCCGGGGCUCAACCCCGGGAGGCGGGUGGAUACUGCUGAGCUCGAGUCCGGAAGAGGAGUGUGGAAUUCCUGGUGGUAGCGGUGAAAUGCGCAGAUAUCAGGAGGAACACCAAUGGCGAAGGCAGCUUGCUGGGACGGUACUGACGCUGAUGCGCGAAAGCCAGGGGAGCGAACGGG